AUUUCCCCCACAGUACUUUGAGAUCACUGAAACUCCACCUGAUGUGGUAGAAGUUUGUUGAACCAGAUCAGAACGCCUUCGAGGACCACUUUCAGGCAUGGGCUGAGAAGGAUGUGGAGGCAUUUGACCAGUUGAGACUGAACAUGGACAAGGCGCCAGGAGAAACAGAAGGAGAGCCACCGUAGGAGAAUCAAGGGGACCAAGUGCUUUGACAUCUGGGCGAAUGACUUGGCUUGGAAGAAAGACGAAAGGAAGGCGAGACCUCGAAAACCUUGCUGCUCUUUCGCUCCUAGCUGGGGUCACCAUCCGUUAAGGACCUAGGAGCUCUGCCUAACACCCAGACAUGGAUCCACCUGAUGUCCUCCAUUACCAACCACCCUCCAACCUUUCAUUACAUCAUCUACAGCUACUGUUAUUGUCAUGUUGUCAUUAUCUGCUAAGAAAGAGCAAGAAAACUAUCAUACUGGGCACGUAAUGUGAAAUGCACAGAAUAGCUAAAAACACUAGCACUGCAAACACUCAGAACAAAGAGAGCAGCAGCGCCUGGACUUUGCAUUCUCCCUCUUCGAGUCCCCCUUCCGAGACUGACUACCUGUUGAAAAGCAGUGACGGGCAGAACCUCCCAUCCACACAGCACCCACCACCUCUCUAUUCACCUAUCUACCAGAAUUCACUAUUUCAGUCAUACCUAUUCUAUCUUUUUGGUCUUUUGUGGUAGCCUACCACUAAUAUUCUAAAUUUCGGAGCAUUUAAUAAACCAACCAUACUUUCCUGUGA